CUUGUGUUUUGACAUUUUGGAGGAGUUGACAGAUAAAGACAAGGCUUGGGGGUAUUUCAAAUGACAAGGAGGUGCUUGGAGCUGGAGUUGAACCAGCGACCUUAGGAUCACAGCGUUUCACACAAGGAGCAUCUUACAGUCCACCGCUCUACCAACUGAGCUAUCAAGGUGCUCUCUAGUCACAAGUGCAGAAAACAUAGUGGCUUCGAAGACACACUAUGCCCACAGAACUAUUCCAACCCAUGGUCAAUGAAAAGCCCAGCCCUACCUGCAGAACAAAGCUUUGCAGUUUGUACCCAACAGUCAUUGCCAGGGACCCAGAACUGAUAAUCAGGACUUUUAGGCUGGGUGAAUAAAAAAUUGAUGGUUGAAAAUUUAAGAAAGAGUUAACUUGUUUGUGUUUUGACAUUUUGGAGGAGUUGACAGAUAAAGACAAGGCUUGGGGGUAUUUCCAAUGACAAGGAGGUGCUUGGAGCUGGAGUUGAACCAGCGGCCUUAGGAUCACAGCGUUUCACACAAGGAGCAUCUUACAGUCCACCGCUCUACCAACUGAGCUAUCAAGGUGCACUCUAAUCACAAGUGCAGAUAACAUAGUGGCUUCGAAGACACACUAUGCCCACAGAACUAUUCUAACCCAUUGUGAAUGAAAAGCCCAGCCCUACCUGCAGAACAAAGCUUUGCAGUUUGUACCCAACAGUCAUUGCCAGGGACCCAGAACUGAUAAUCAGGACUUUUAGGCUGGGUGAAUAAAAAAUUGAUGGUUGAAAAUUUAAGAAAGUUAUCUUGUUUGUGUUUUGACAUUUUGGAGGAGUUGACAGAUAAAGACAAGGCUUGGGGGUAUUUCCAAUGACAAGGAGGUGCUUGGAGCUGGAGUUGAACCAGCGACCUUAGGAUCACAGGGUUUCACACAAGGAGCAUCUUACAGUCCACCGCUCUAUCAGCUGAGCUAUCAAGGUGCUCUCUAAUCACAAGUGCAGAAAACAUAGUGGCUUCGAAGACACACUAUGCCCACAGAACUAUUCCAACCCAUGGUCAAUGAAAAGCCCAGCCCUACCUGCAGAACAAAGCUUUGCAGUUUGUACCCAACAGUCAUUGCCAGGGACCAUGAACUGAUAAUCAGGACUUUUAGGCUGGGUGAAUAAAAAAUUGAUGGUUGAAAAUUUAGGAAAGAGUUAUCUUGUUUGUGUUUUGACAUUUUGGAGGAGUAGACAGAUAAAGACAAGGCUUGGGGGUAUUUCCAAUGAAGUGCUUGGAGCUGGAGUUGAACCAGCGGCCUUAGGAUCACAGCGUUUCACACAAGGAGCAUCUUACAGUCCACCGCUCUACCAACUGAGCUAUCAAGGUGCACUCUAAUCACAAGUGUAGAUAACAUAGUGGCUUCGAAGACACACUAUGCCCACAGAACUAUUCUAACCCAUUGUGAAUGAAAAGCCCAGCCCUACCUGCAGAACAAAGCUUUGCAGUUUGUACCCAACAGUCAUUGCCAGGGACCCAGAACUGAUAAUCAGGACUUUUAGGCUGGGUGAAUAAAAAAUUGAUGGUUGAAAAUUUAAGAAAGUUAUCUUGUUUGUGUUUUGACAUUUUGGAGGAGUUGACAGAUAAAGACAAGGCUUGGGGGUAUUUCCAAUGACAAGGAGGUGCUUGGAGCUGGAGUUGAACCAGCGACGUUAGGAUGACAGCUUUUCACACAAGGAGCAUCAUUACAGUCCACCGCUCUACCAACUGAGCUAUCAAGGUGCUCUCUAGUCACAAGUGCAGAAAACAUAGUGGCUUCGAAGACACACUAUGCCCACAGAACUAUUCCAACCCAUGGUCAAUGAAAAGCCCAGCCCUACCUGCAGAACAAAGCUUUGCAGUUUGUACCCAACAGUCAUUGCCAGGGACCAUGAACUGAUAAUCAGGACUUUUAGGCUGGGUGAAUAAAAAAUUGAUGGUUGAAAAUUUAGGAAAGAGUUAUCUUGUUUGUGUUUUGACAUUUUGGAGGAGUAGACAGAUAAAGACAAGGCUUGGGGGUAUUUCCAAUGAAGUGCUUGGAGCUGGAGUUGAACCAGCGGCCUUAGGAUCACAGCGUUUCACACAAGGAGCAUCUUACAGUCCACCGCUCUACCAACUGAGCUAUCAAGGUGCUCUCUAGUCACAAGAGCAGAAAACAUAGUGGCUUCGAAGACACACUAUGCCCACAGAACUAUUCCAACCCAUGGUCAAUGAAAAGCCCAGCCCUACCUGCAGAACAAAGCUUUGCAGUUUGUACCCAACAGUCAUUGCCAGGGACCCAGAACUGAUAAUCAGGACUUUUAGGCUGGGUGAAUAAAAAAUUGAUGGUUGAAAAUUUAAGAAAGAGUUAUCUUGUUUGUGUUUUGACAUUUUGGAGGAGUUGACAGAUAAAGACAAGGCUUGGGGGUAUUUCCAAUGACAAGGAGGUGCUUGGAGCUGGAGUUGAACCAGCGACCUUAGGAUCACAGCGUUUCACACAAGGAGCAUCUUACAGUCCACCGCUCUACCAACUGAGCUAUCAAGGUGCUCUCUAGUCACAGGUGCAGAAAACAUAGUGGCUUUGAAGACACACUAUGCCCACAGAACUAUUCCAACCCAUGGUCAAUGAAAAGCCCAGCCCUACCUGCAGAACAAAGCUUUGCAGUUUGUACCCAACAGUCAUUGCCAGGGACCCAGAACUGAUAAUCAGGACUUUUAGGCUGGGUGAAUAAAAAAUUGAUGGUUGAAAAUUUAAGAAAGAGUUAUCUUGUUUGUGUUUUGACAUUUUGGAGGAGUUGACAGAUAAAGACAAGGCUUGGGGGUAUUUCCAAUGACAAGGAGGUGCUUGGAGCUGGAGUUGAACCAGCGGCCUUAGGAUCACAGCGUUUCACACAAGGAGCAUCUUACAGUCCACCGCUCUACCAACUGAGCUAUCAAGGUGCUCUCUAGUCACAAGAGCAGAAAACAUAGUGGCUUCGAAGACACACUAUGCCCACAGAACUAUUCCAACCCAUGGUCAAUGAAAAGCCCAGCCCUACCUGCAGAACAAAGCUUUGCAGUUUGUACCCAACAGUCAUUGCCAGGGACCAUGAACUGAUAAUCAGGACUUUUAGGCUGGGUGAAUAAAAAAUUGAUGGUUGAAAAUUUAGGAAAGAGUUAUCUUGUUUGUGUUUUGACAUAUUGGAGGAGUAGACAGAUAAAGACAAGGCUUGGGGGUAUUUCCAAUGACAAGGAGGUGCUUGGAGCUGGAGUUGAACCAGCGACCUUAGGAUCACAGCGUUUCACACAAGGAGCAUCUUACAGUCCACCGCUCUACCAACUGAGCUAUCAAGGUGCUCUCUAGUCACAAGUGCAGAAAACAUAGUGGCUUCGAAGACACACUAUGCCCACAGAACUAUUCCAACCCAUGGUCAAUGAAAAGCCCAGCCCUACCUGCAGAACAAAGCUUUGCAGUUUGUACCCAACAGUCAUUGCCAGGGACCCAGAACUGAUAAUCAGGACUUUUAGGCUGGGUGAAUAAAAAAUUGAUGGUUGAAAAUUUAAGAAAGAGUUAUCUUGUUUGUGUUUUGACAUUUUGGAGGAGUUGACAGAUAAAGACAAGGCUUGGGGGUAUUUCCAAUGACAAGGAGGUGCUUGGAGCUGGAGUUGAACCAGCGACCUUAGGUUCACAGCGUUUCACACAAGGAGCAUCUUACAGUCCAAAGCUCUACAAACUGAGCUAUCAAGGUGCUCUCUAGUCACAAGUGCAGAAAACAUAGUGGCUUCGAAGACACACUAUGCCCACAGAACUAAUUCCAACCCAUGGUCAAUGAAAAGCCCAGCCCUACCUGCAGAACAAAGCUUUGCAGUUUGUACCCAACAGUCAUUGCCAGGGACCCAGAACUGAUAAUCAGGACUUUUAGGCUGGGUGAAUAAAAAAUUGAUGGUUGAAAAUUUAAGAAAGAGUUAUCUUGUUUGUGUUUUGACAUUUUGGAGGAGUUGACAGAUAAAGACAAGGCUUGGUGGUAUUUCCAAUGACAAGGAGGUGCUUGGAGCUGGAGUUGAACCAGCGACCUUAGGAUCACAGCGUUUCACACAAGGAACAUCUUACAGUCCACCGCUCUACCAACUGAGCUAUCACGGUGCUCUCUAUUCACAAGUGCAGAAAACAUAGUGGCUUCGAAGACACACUAUGCCCACAGAACUAUUCCAACCCAUGGUCAAUGAAAAGCCCAGCCCUACCUGCAGAACAAAGCUUUGCAGUUUGUACCCAACAGUCAUUGCCAGGGACCCAGAACUGAUAAUCAGGACUUUUAGGCUGGGUGAAUAAAAAAUUGAUGGUUGAAAAUUUAAGAAAGAGUUAUCUUGUUUGUGUUUUGACAUUUUGGAGGAGUUGACAGAUAAAGACAAGGCUUGGGGGUAUUUCCAAUGACAAGGAGGUGCUUGGAGCUGGAGUUGAACCAGCGACCUUAGGAUCACAGCGUUUCACACAAGGAGCAUCUUACAGUCCAAAGCUCUACAAAAUGAGCUAUCAAGGUGCUCUCUAGUCACAAGUGCAGAAAACAUAGUGGCUUUGAAGACACACUAUGCCCACAGAACUAUUCCAACCCAUGGUCAAUGAAAAGCCCAGCCCUACCUGCAGAACAAAGCUUUGCAGUUUGUACCCAACAGUCAUUGCCAGGGACCCAGAACUGAUAAUCAGGACUUUUAGGCUGGGUGAAUAAAAAAUUGAUGGUUGAAAAUUUAAGAAAGAGUUAUCUUGUUUGUGUUUUGACAUUUUGGAGGAGUUGACAGAUAAAGACAAGGCUUGGGGGUAUUUCCAAUGACGUGCUUGGAGCUGGAGUUGAACCAGCGACCUUAGGAUCACAGCGUUUCACACAAGGAGCAUCUUACAGUCCACCGCUCUACCAACUGAGCUAUCAAGGUGCUCUCUAGUCACAAGUGCAGAAAACAUAGUGGCUUCGAAGACACACUAUGCCCACAGAACUAUUCCAACCCAUGGUCAAUGAAAAGCCCAGCCCUACCUGCAGAACAAAGCUUUGCAGUUUGUACCCAACAGUCAUUGCCAGGGACCCAGAACUGAUAAUCAGGACUUUUAGGCUGGGUGAAUAAAAAAUUGAUGGUUGAAAAUUUAAGAAAGAGUUAACUUGUUUGUGUUUGACAUUUUGGAGGAGUUGACAGAUAAAGACAAGGCUUGGGGGUAUUUCCAAUGACAAGGAGGUGCUUGGAGCUGGAGUUGAACCAGCGACCUUAGGAUCACAGCGUUUCACACAAGGAGCAUCUUACAGUUCACCGCUGUACCAACUGAGCUAUCAAGGUGCUCCCUAGUCACAAGUGCAGAAAACAUAGUGGCUUCGAAGACACACUAUGCCCACAGAACUAUUCCAACCCAUGGUCAAUGAAAAGCCCAGCCCUACCUGCAGAACAAAGCUUUGCAGUUUGUACCCAACAGUCAUUGCCAGGGACCCAGAACUGAUAAUCAGGACUUUUAGGCUGGGUGAAUAAAAAAUUGAUGGUUGAAAAUUUAAGAAAGAGUUAUCUUGUUUGUGUUUUCACAUUUUGGAGGAGUUGACAGAUAAAGACAAGGCUUGGGGGUAUUUCCAAUGACAAGGAGGUGUUUGGAGCUGGAGUUGAACCAGCGACCUUAGGAUCACAGCGUUUCACACAAGGAACAUCUUACAGUCCACCGCUCUACCAACUGAGCUAUCACGGUGCUCUCUAUUCACAAGUGCAGAAAACAUAGUGGCUUCGAAGACACACUAUGCCCACAGAACUAUUCCAACCCAUGGUCAAUGAAAAGCCCAGCCCUACCUGCAGAACAAAGCUUUGCAGUUUGUACCCAACAGUCAUUGCCAGGGACCCAGAACUGAUAAUCAGGACUUUUAGGCUGGGUGAAUAAAAAAUUGAUGGUUGAAAAUUUAAGAAAGAGUUAUCUUGUUUGUGUUUUGACAUUUUGGAGGAGUUGACAGAUAAAGACAAGGCUUGGGGGUAUUUCCAAUGACAAGCUUGGAGCUGGAGUUGAACAAGCGGCCUUAGGAUCACAGUGUUUCACACAAGGAGAAUCUUACAGUCCACCGCUCUACCAACUGAGCUAUCACGGUGCUCUCUAGUCAAAAGUGCAGAAAACAUAGUGGCUUCGAAGACACACUAUGCCCACAGAACUAUUCCAACCCAUGGUCAAUGAAAAGCCCAGCCCUACCUGAAGAACAAAGCUUUGCAGUUUGUACCCAACAGUCAUUGCCAGGGACCCAGAACUGAUAAUCAGGACUUUUAGGCUGGGUGAAUAAAAAAUUGAUGGUUGAAAAUUUAAGAAAGAGUUAUCUUGUUUGUGUUUUGACAUUUUGGAGGAGUUGACAGAUAAAGACAAGGCUUGGUGGUAUUUCCAAUGACUUGCUUGGAGAUGGAGUUGAACCAACGACCUUUGGAUCACAGCGUUUCACACAAGGAGCAUCUUACAGUCCACCGCUCUACCAACUGAGCUAUCAAGGUGCUCUCUAGUCACAAGUGCAGAAAACAUAGUGGCUUCGAAGACACACUAUGCCCACAGAACUAUUCCAACCCAUGGUCAAUGAAAAGCCCAGCCCUACCUGCAGAACAAAGCUUUGCAGUUUGUACCCAACAGUCAUUGCCAGGGACCCAGAACUGAUAAUCAGGACUUUUAGGCUGGGUGAAUAAAAAAUUGAUGGUUGAAAAUUUAAGAAAGAGUUAUCUUGUUUGUGUUUUGACAUUUUGGAGGAGUUGACAGAUAAAGACAAGGCUUGGGGGUAUUUCCAAUGACAAGGAGGUGCUUGGAGCUGGAGUUGAACCAGCGACCUUAGGAUCACAGCGUUUCACACAAGGAACAUCUUACAGUCCACCGAUCUACCAACUGAGCUAUCACGGUGCUCUCUAUUCACAAGUGCAGAAAACAUAGUGGCUUCGAAGACACACUAUGCCCACAGAACUAUUCCAACCCAUGGUCAAUGAAAAGCCCAGCCCUACCUGCAGAACAAAGCUUUGCAGUUUGUACCCAACAGUCAUUGCCAGGGACCCAGAACUGAUAAUCAGGACUUUUAGGCUGGGUGAAUAAAAAAUUGAUGGUUGAAAAUUUAAGAAAGAGUUAUCUUGUUUGUGUUUUGACAUUUUGGAGGAGUUGACAGAUAAAGACAAGGCUUGGGGGUAUUUCCAAUGACAAGGAGGUGCUUGGAGCUGGAGUUGAACCAGCGACCUUAGGAUCACAGCCUUUCACACAAGGAGCAUCUUACAGUCCACCGCUCUACCAACUGAGCUAUCAAGGUGCUCUCUAUUCACAAGUGCAGAAAACAUAGUGGCUUCGAAGACACACUAUGCCCACAGAACUAUUCCAACC